GAGUUUGAUCAUGGCUCAGGAUGAACGCUAGCGGCAGGCCUAACACAUGCAAGUCGAACGGUAACAGGAAUUAGCUUGCUAAUUUGCUGACGAGUGGCGCACGGGUGCGUAACGCGUAUACAAUCUACCUUUUGCUGAGGGAUAGCCCAGAGAAAUUUGGAUUAAUACCUCAUGGUAUUAUUGAUAGGCAUCUAUUAAUAAUUAAAGGUUACGGCAAAAGAUGAGUAUGCGUCCCAUUAGCUAGUUGGUGAAGUAACGGUUCACCAAGGCAACGAUGGGUAGGGGUCCUGAGAGGGAGAUCCCCCACACUGGUACUGAGACACGGACCAGACUCCUACGGGAGGCAGCAGUGAGGAAUAUUGGACAAUGGGCGAGAGCCUGAUCCAGCCAUGCCGCGUGCAGGAAGACUGCCCUAUGGGUUGUAAACUGCUUUUAUACAGGAAGAAUAAGCCU
rnacentral:rRNA from 1 species